rnacentral:rRNA from 1 species
GACGAACGCUGGCGGCGUGCCUAAUACAUGCAAGUAGAACGCUGAAGGAGGAGCUUGCUCUUCUGGAUGAGUUGCGAACGGGUGAGUAACGCGUAGGUAACCUGCCUGGUAGCGGGGGAUAACUAUUGGAAACGAUAGCUAAUACCGCAUAAGGGUAGAUGUUGCAUGACAUUUACUUAAAAGGUGCAAUUGCAUCACUACCAGAUGGACCUGCGUUGUAUUAGCUAGUUGGUGGGGUAACGGCUUACCAAGGCGACGAUACAUAGCCGACCUGAGAGGGUGAUCGGCCACACUGGGACUGAGACACGGCCCAGACUCCUACGGGAGGCAGCAGUAGGGAAUCUUCGGCAAUAGACGGAAGUCUGACCGAGCAACGCCGCGUGAGUGAAGAAGGUUUUCGGAUCGUAAAGCUCUGUUGUAAGAGAAGAACGAGUGUGAGAGUGGAAAGUUCACACUGUGACGGUAUCUUACCAGAAAGGGACGGCUAACUACGUG